rnacentral:rRNA from 1 species
UACGAAGGGGGCUAGCGUUGUUCGGAAUUACUGGGCGUAAAGCGCGCGCAGGCGGCUAUCCAAGUCAGUGGUGAAAGCCCGGAGCUCAACUCCGGAACUGCCAUUGAAACUGUUUAGCUUGAGGACGAGAGAGGUGAGUGGAAUUCCCAGUGUAGAGGUGAAAUUCGUAGAUAUUGGGAAGAACACCGGUGGCGAAGGCGGCGAGCUGGUCCGUAUCUGACGCUGAGGCGCGACAGCGUGGGGAGCAAACAGG